rnacentral:rRNA from 1 species
CAAUAGCGUAUAUUUAAGUUGCUGCAGUUAAAAAGCUCGUAGUUGGAUUUCGGGUGGGAAUGGCCGGUCCGCCGUUUCGGUGUGCACUUGCUACGCCCACCUUGCUGCCGGGGACGUGCUCUUGAGUUCACGCUCGGGACACGGAGUCGGCGAGGUUACUUUGAGUAAAUUAGAGUGUUCAAAGCAGGCCUACGCUCUGAAUACAUUAGCAUGGAAUAACACGAUAGGACUCUGGCCUAUCUUGUUGGUCUGUAGGACCGGAGUAAUGAUUAAGAGGGACAGUCGGGGGCAUUCGUAUUUCAUUGUCAGAGGUGAAAUUCUUGGAUUUAUGAAAGACGAACUACUGCGAAAGCAUUUGCCAAGGAUGUUUUCAGUAA